rnacentral:rRNA from 1 species
AAUAGAUACCCUGGUAGUCCACGCCGUAAACGAUGAGUGCUAGGUGUUGGUGGGGACACCCAUCAGUGCCGCAGCUAACGCAUUAAGCACUCCGCCUGGGGAGUACGGUCGCAAGACUGAAACUCAAAGGAAUUGACGGGGACCCGCACAAGCAGCGGAGCAUGUGGUUUAAUUCGGCGCAACGCGAAGAACCUUACCAGGGCUUGACAUCCCUCUGACCGGAUUAGAGAUAGUCCUUUCUCUUCGGAGACAGAGGAGACAGGUGGUGCAUGGUUGUCGUCAGCUCGUGUCGUGAGAUGUUGGGUUAAGUCCCGCAACGAGCGCAACCCUUGCCUUUAGUUGCCAUCAGGUAAAGCUGGGCACUCUAGAGGGACUGCCGGUGACAAACCGGAGGAGGGUGGGGAUGACGUCAAAUCACCAUGCCCCUUAUGUCCUGGGCUACACACGUGCUACAAUGGUCGGUACAACGGGAAGCGAGACUGCGAAGUUUAGCCAAUCCCAAUAAGCCGAUCCCAGUUCGGAUUGUAGG